rnacentral:rRNA from 1 species
UACGUAGGGGCGAAGCGUUAUCCGGAAUUAUUGGGCGUAAAGAGCUCGUAGGCGGUUUGUCGCGUCUGCCGUGAAAGUCCGGGGCUCAACUCCGGAUCUGCGGUGGGUACGGGCAGACUAGAGUGAUGUAGGGGAGACUGGAAUUCCUGGUGUAGCGGUGAAAUGCGCAGAUAUCAGGAGGAACACCGAUGGCGAAGGCAGGUCUCUGGGCAUUAACUGACGCUGAGGAGCGAAAGCAUGGGGAGCGAACAGG